CCAUCUCCCUCUCCCUCUCUGAAUCUCCCUCUUCCUCUCUUUCGAUCUUCCGAUCUCAACCCUCUCACUCUCCCUCCGUCUCUCCCGAUCUCAACCCUCUCUCUCGAUCUCCCUCUCCCGAUCUCAACCCUCUUUCUCGAUCUCCCUCUCACUCUCCCUCCCUCUCUUGAUCUCCCUCUCGUUCUGUGUAACAGGUGUGGAUCAGGGACAGCUGUUUACAUUGGUUGAUAGGGUGAACAGCCUCUAGCACAAGUGGUGAAUGCGCCGGCUGCUGCAGAUCAGGGCCAAGUUGCUACUCCAGCAGUGGUCGCAGUGGUCAUUGCUCUAGUCCUUUAGGAAUCUGACACAGAGGCAGCGGACACUACUCGAAGAGUUCGUGAAAGAGGAGCAGCAGGGAGGAUAUGAUAAGGACACUACCGCUGCUGGGGCAUCCAGCUAAAUUUGAGAUCAGACAGACUGCUGCUCGAGUAAUGAUUUGAGUAUUGCCUGCACAGUUAGAAUUUUGUAGGAAUGUGGGUUGAUUUGAUUGGUUUUUGUAAGAUAUGCGUCUCUUUUAUGGUCUUUAUGUAAACAAAAUCCAGAUGAAUUUCAAUCACACAUUAUCUGACAUGGGAGCCACGUUGGAUUAAGCCGGGUUUUCAGUUCAUUCUGGGAACUGGAACGCAUUUGUAUUAUUUGGCACAUUCCCACCAGACAACAGAAACAUGGAUCCCAUAUCAGAAACUGCUGGUGAUUGGAAAUCAGAAUCCUUCUGGAUUUUGUCAACACAAACAGGCCCUUCUAUAGCCAUCUAUCUAGAUCAAUUGUAAUUGGGAGUUGGAAUUGUACAUAAUCUAUUUAUAUAUCAUAAAAUGAAUGAGAUUCGAUGCGUU